UACGGGGGGGGCAAGCGUUGUUCGGAAUUACUGGGCGUAAAGGGCCAGUAGGCGGCCAACUAAGUCCGACGUGAAAUCCCCAGGCUUAACCUGGGAACUGCGUCGGAUACUGGAUGGCUUGAAUUCGGGAGAGGGAUGCAGAAUUCCAGGUGUAGCGGUGAAAUGCGCAGAUAUCGGGAAGAACACCCGUGGCGAAGGCGGCUCUCUGGGACGGUACUGACGCUGAGACGCGAAAGCGUGGGGAGCGAACAGG
rnacentral:rRNA from 1 species